UUAAGCGACUAAGCGUACACGGUGGAUGCCCUGGCAGUCAGAGGCGAUGAAGGACGUGCUAAUCUGCGAUAAGCGUCGGUAAGGUGAUAUGAACCGUUAUAACCGGCGAUUUCCGAAUGGGGAAACCCAGUGUGUUUCGACACACUAUCAUUAACUGAAUCCAUAGGUUAAUGAGGCGAACCGGGGGAACUGAAACAUCUAAGUACCCCGAGGAAAAGAAAUCAACCGAGAUUCCCCCAGUAGCGGCGAGCGAACGGGGAGGAGCCCAGAGCCUGAAUCAGUGUGUGUGUUAGUGGAAGCGUCUGGAAAGGCGCGCGAUACAGGGUGACAGCCCCGUACACAAAAAUGCACAUGCUGUGAGCUCGAUGAGUAGGGCGGGACACGUGGUAUCCUGUCUGAAUAUGGGGGGACCAUCCUCCAAGGCUAAAUACUCCUGACUGACCGAUAGUGAACCAGUACCGUGAGGGAAAGGCGAAAAGAACCCCGGCGAGGGGAGUGAAAAAGAACCUGAAACCGUGUACGUACAAGCAGUGGGAGCACAGAGCAAUCUGUGUGACUGCGUACCUUUUGUAUAAUGGGUCAGCGACUUAUAUUCUGUAGCAAGGUUAACCGAAUAGGGGAGCCGAAGGGAAACCGAGUCUUAACUGGGCGUUAAGUUGCAGGGUAUAGACCCGAAACCCGGUGAUCUAGCCAUUGGCAGGUUGAAGGUUGGGUAACACUAACUGGAGGACCGAACCGACUAAUGUUGAAAAAUUAGCGGAUGACUUGUGGCUGGGGGUGAAAGGCCAAUCAAACCGGGAGAUAGCUGGUUCUCCCCGAAAGCUAUUUAGGUAGCGCCUCGUGAAUUCAUCUCCGGGGGUAGAGCACUGUUUCGGCAAGGGGGUCAUCCCGACUUACCAACCCGAUGCAAACUGCGAAUACCGGAGAAUGUUAUCACGGGAGACACACGGCGGGUGCUAACGUCCGUCGUGAAGAGGGAAACAACCCAGACCGCCAGCUAAGGUCCCAAAGUCAUGGUUAAGUGGGAAACGAUGUGGGAAGGCCCAGACAGCCAGGAUGUUGGCUUAGAAGCAGCCAUCAUUUAAAGAAAGCGUAAUAGCUCACUGGUCGAGUCGGCCUGCGCGGAAGAUGUAACGGGGCUAAACCAUGCACCGAAGCUGCGGCAGCGACACUGUGUGUUGUUGGGUAGGGGAGCGUUCUGUAAGCCUGUGAAGGUGUGCUGUGAGGCAUGCUGGAGGUAUCAGAAGUGCGAAUGCUGACAUAAGUAACGAUAAAGCGGGUGAAAAGCCCGCUCGCCGGAAGACCAAGGGUUCCUGUCCAACGUUAAUCGGGGCAGGGUGAGUCGACCCCUAAGGCGAGGCCGAAAGGCGUAGUCGAUGGGAAACAGGUUAAUAUUCCUGUACUUGGUGUUACUGCGAAGGGGGGACGGAGAAGGCUAUGUUGGCCGGGCGACGGUUGUCCCGGUUUAAGCGUGUAGGCUGGUUUUCCAGGCAAAUCCGGAAAAUCAAGGCUGAGGCGUGAUGACGAGGCACUACGGUGCUGAAGCAACAAAUGCCCUGCUUCCAGGAAAAGCCUCUAAGCAUCAGGUAACAUCAAAUCGUACCCCAAACCGACACAGGUGGUCAGGUAGAGAAUACCAAGGCGCUUGAGAGAACUCGGGUGAAGGAACUAGGCAAAAUGGUGCCGUAACUUCGGGAGAAGGCACGCUGAUAUGUAGGUGAAGUCCCUCGCGGAUGGAGCUGAAAUCAGUCGAAGAUACCAGCUGGCUGCAACUGUUUAUUAAAAACACAGCACUGUGCAAACACGAAAGUGGACGUAUACGGUGUGACGCCUGCCCGGUGCCGGAAGGUUAAUUGAUGGGGUCAGCGCAAGCGAAGCUCUUGAUCGAAGCCCCGGUAAACGGCGGCCGUAACUAUAACGGUCCUAAGGUAGCGAAAUUCCUUGUCGGGUAAGUUCCGACCUGCACGAAUGGCGUAAUGAUGGCCAGGCUGUCUCCACCCGAGACUCAGUGAAAUUGAACUCGCUGUGAAGAUGCAGUGUACCCGCGGCAAGACGGAAAGACCCCGUGAACCUUUACUAUAGCUUGACACUGAACAUUGAGCCUUGAUGUGUAGGAUAGGUGGGAGGCUUUGAAGUGUGGACGCCAGUCUGCAUGGAGCCGACCUUGAAAUACCACCCUUUAAUGUUUGAUGUUCUAACGUGGACCCGUGAUCCGGGUUGCGGACAGUGUCUGGUGGGUAGUUUGACUGGGGCGGUCUCCUCCUAAAGAGUAACGGAGGAGCACGAAGGUUGGCUAAUCCUGGUCGGACAUCAGGAGGUUAGUGCAAUGGCAUAAGCCAGCUUGACUGCGAGCGUGACGGCGCGAGCAGGUGCGAAAGCAGGUCAUAGUGAUCCGGUGGUUCUGAAUGGAAGGGCCAUCGCUCAACGGAUAAAAGGUACUCCGGGGAUAACAGGCUGAUACCGCCCAAGAGUUCAUAUCGACGGCGGUGUUUGGCACCUCGAUGUCGGCUCAUCACAUCCUGGGGCUGAAGUAGGUCCCAAGGGUAUGGCUGUUCGCCAUUUAAAGUGGUACGCGAGCUGGGUUUAGAACGUCGUGAGACAGUUCGGUCCCUAUCUGCCGUGCGCUGGAGAACUGAGGGGGGCUGCUCCUAGUACGAGAGGACCGGAGUGGACGCAUCACUGGUGUUCGGGUUGUCAUGCCAAUGGCACUGCCCGGUAGCUAAAUGCGGAAGAGAUAAGUGCUGAAAGCAUCUAAGCACGAAACUUGCCCCGAGAUGAGUUCUCCCUGACCCUUUAAGGGUCCUGAAGGAACGUUGAAGACGACGACGUUGAUAGGCCGGGUGUGUAAGCGCAGCGAUGCGUUGAGCUAACCGGUACUAAUGAACCGUGAGGCUUAACCUU
rnacentral:rRNA from 1 species